rnacentral:snRNA from 1 species
GAGCAAUCUUGCUGUGACAUUGUGUCACCCCAUUUAUCACCAGUGUUGAUGUGGCUGAUCUGUCUGGCUAGGUGGGGCACCUGCUUCCUCCCUCACCUCCUGAAGCUUCAUGGUGGGCAGAAGAGGACACACUUCCCCACUGGAGGAGGGACUUGCCCUGCUCAGUUGUAUGUGGGAAGCUGUGCUCCUGCUAGAGCCUCCACAAAAGCUCUCAGAGCGGCUUUUAAAUCAGGACACAAAAUCUUUAAGCUCUAAAGAGUGUGAAGAAUUUGCAAUGGUAGAAUUCCAGACAC